UUAACGCACAAGCAUAAAAUAUAAAGCUGUACUAGGCCGCCGCAUAUAUACAUGGCGAUCAUAAUUCCUUCUACGGGAGCCAUCGAUAAUAUCUAUAUAGGGGAUGGACGUGACUCCAAGCUAUACUUUGUAAUUAUCCUGGGACUGUAAAGCAGCGAUUAUCUUAUGAUACUCUAGGAGGCACUUCAUUGUGGAGAUACUCCAUCGCAAAGGAAGAAGCAGAAGAAACUAAAUAUCUGAUGUUGUUUAGUGCGAGCUUCUUCGGACAACAGCUGAGGAUUGAUCUGCGAUAAGUUACAUAGACAUUGAACGUGCCAAUAUCUAUUUUAUAAAGUGAAACAUAUGCUCGUUUACGAAUGAAACAACAAUUAAAGAUCACUGGAACCGAGAGACGUCGCAGAACUUGAUAGUAUACGGUGCUCGUCUGAUACUAUCGUUGAUCGGCGUAGUGUGAUCUACAAUGUAUAAGAAGGACAACGAACGAACUACGAAUAUUAAGUGGUUGGAGGCCACUUUAUUCACGAAAUACGGAAGGUUUUGCAGCAAUAUCCCAAGAGUCGUCGAAAAGAAUAUUUCGAUGACUAAUCUAAGGACUAUUAACAUCGAAUGUACGAAAUGUUUUUAAGCUCGCCGAUUUACGGAUCAAUAAGUAUAAAGUAAGUCGUUGAUAAGAAUAUCAAUUAAUAGAAAAAGAAUGAUUAAUAGAUGACAAGGAUUAAUAUUGUUGGCAAUAUUACUGUAACAAGUAUGUUUCUUUUGUCGUGCACAGAUUUUUCCGAAAA